CUCUGUAACUCUCAAUAGAAGUCCUUCUCAACUUCACCCAAAUCGUGAUAUAUAUAUAUAUAUGUAUGUGUGUGUCAAAAUCAAAGAAACUUUCAUUAGAAACAACAAAGUAUCUUACAUAAAUACACUAACUGUCUCAGGCAUAGAAAAAAAAAGAGAAAGAGUAGAUGAAGAAAACAAAAGAUAUACGGAGCUAUUUUUUCUUCUCCAA